CCAGCAGCCGCGGUAAUUCCAGCUCCAAUAGCGUAUACUAAAGUUGUUGCAGUUAAAAAGCUCGUAGUCGAAUCUUGGCGUGGACUACGUUUUUUUAUCGUUUUUCUAUGAUAAAUCAAUGUUUUCUACCGCCUUCUUUGUUGAUUUUUUUACUGGAUUUCCGUUUCUUUUCUUUUGGUUAAGCCAGAGGAAAAAAAAGAGACCAAUUAAAAAUCAACAGACAUUUUACUGUGAACAAAAUAGAGUGUUCAUGGCAGGCCUUUUGUUGGCUUAUAUACUUCAGCAUGGAAUAAUAGAGUAGGACUGUUGGUUCUAUUUUAUUGGUUACUGGAGCCAAAGUAAUGAUUAAUAGGAAUAGUUGGGGGCACCCGUACUCCGUAGUCAGAGGUGAAAUUCUUGGAUUUACGGAAGACGAACAACUGCGAAAGCAUCUGCCAAGGAUGUUUUCAUUGAUCAAGAACGAAAGU
rnacentral:rRNA from 1 species